rnacentral:rRNA from 1 species
CCUACGGGCGGCAGCAGUGAGGAAUAUUGGUCAAUGGACGAGAGUCUGAACCAGCCAAGUAGCGUGAAGGAUGACUGCCCUCUGGGUUGUAAACUUCUUUUAUAUGGGAAUAAAAUGUUCCACGUGUGGGAUUUUGUAUGUACCAUAUGAAUAAGGAUCGGCUAACUCCGUGCCAGCAGCCGCGGUAAUACGGAGGAUCCGCGCGGUAUCCGGAUUUAUUGGGUUUAAAGGGAGCGUAGGUGGAUUGUUAAGUCAGUUGUGAAAGUUUGCGGCGCAACCGUAAAAGUGCAGUUGAAACUGGCAGUCUGGAGUACAGUAGAGGUGGGCGGAAUUCGUGGUGUAGCGGUGAAAUGCUUAGAUAUCACGAAGAACUCCGAUUGCGAAGGCAGCUCACUGGACUGCAACUGACACUGAGGCUCGAAAGUGUGGGUAUCAAACAGGAUUAGAUACCCCAGUAGUC